UUCCCUUCCAGCUGACUCAAAGCUUCGGUGCCCGGUGGCCGAAGGGGAAAGUAUUGGGGGUACAGAUCGGGCCCGUGGGAUCAGGCCCCCCCAGAGCACCCCCUCCUGGGGUCCAUGGCCCUCCCUGGUCUUGCCUCCUGGGUUCAUGGUUCCCUCCAUCCUCUCUGGGUCCAGGGGCCCCUUCUAUCUUCUCUAGGUCCUGCCCCCCCCUUAUCCAGGGGUCCCCAUGAUCCCCAGCCUCCGAUCUGGGCUCAUCCCCCUGACAUGGGGCUUUGCCCCUGCAGCGUCUUCCCUCCCUGGGUGUGGAGGCCCUGUGUGCUGGGGCAGGUUGGGGGUGGGGGUUGGAGGGAGGUAACCCCUAAACCUUCCUGGUUCCAACCCACCCUCCCACCUUUCUGUUCCUUUUUGUACUUCUCCCUGCAUGGAUCUCCCGGCGCCCAUCCCAGUGGCACCUGGCUGGGUCUGUCCUGCUCCCCAUGACUCCUGGGGGCUGUUGAGGGGCUGUUCCCCAUUCAGACGUCACCCCCCGGCCAGUGACUCAGCCUCGGGCACUCUGCCAGAAGCAGCUGCCGCAGCCGGUGACUUGCUGUAGCUUUCAUACCGACUCCCUUUCUCCGAUCUGGGAACUGGGCGUCAGAGUUAAAUCCCAGCGACAAACAACCAGCCCCGCUUCCCCGGCAGCGCCUUUCCCAGGGCUCCGCCGUUUCCCGGUCUGUGGUGCUUACCCCAGAGCAGGCGACGAGGCACCUGGCUCCCGGCUGUGAAUACCUGCCUCAGGGGGGAGCAGCAGCAUUGCAGGCCCUGCUGUGGCACCGGUCCGGGGCUAGCGGUGGCAGGCAGAUGAGGUCGCCUUGGAGGGAAGGCACUCAUUUCUGGGUAUCCCCCGACCCCAGAGCCAAGAUGACUCAGUGCGGCCUCCUGACCGGCUCCAACAAGCUGGUGCCCCUGCGCAGUGGCUCGGUGACGGGCUGAUCCGAGGCUUCGUGGCUGACGUGGGCUGUGAGCUGCUCUACAGGAAUGAGGAGCCAGGGCCUGUGGAGGCCGUGUUCGUGUUCCCCAUGUACACUGAGGUGGCUGUCUACGCCUUCCAGGUCCGCCUGGCAGGAGCCUGUAUCCAGGCCCAGCUCCAUGAGAAAAAACAGGCUCCCUGAUGGGCGACCCGGCCUUGAUGGUGACCCUGCUGCCCAGCCUGCCCGAGGCGGUGCCAGGCCAGAGCCCGGCCGGGGAGUUCAUCUUUUUGCUGGACCGCUCCGGCAGCAUGGAGUGCCCCCUGGACGGCCGAGACCACUCCCCACAGCGCAUCGACAGCGCCAAGGGAAUUAAAGAGCUGAGGUCUUCCAGCGUUUGCUUGAACCCCAGGAUGUCCUGAGAAGGGCCCGAUGCUGCCCAAGGUGGACCGUCAAGAUGGAUGGCCAGGUUUUAAGCAUUUCUUCCUUUGGUAGAGAAUUCAGCAGCUGGUGAAUGGGGACGGAUUCACAACACACAGCACGUGGCAAGCAUCCUCGAUCUGAUGCCCACUUCCACCUGUCAGCCUUCCCCACUGAAUUACAUCUGCCGCCGAACACUGUUCAGCUGGAAAAUGUCUGACCAGCUCUAAUUUGGACAUAGAGCAAUUCAAUAAUGCGUGCAAAUCCCUGGGCUACGGUUCACAUUCCCGACUGUCUAUCGAAGAGAAAUCUGCCAUCAUGACCAAAGCAAGUUGUGUUUGGACAUGCAAAGAUCCUGUCAGUCUAUCUGUCAAAUAGCUGAACUCUGUGUAGAUGGGACUAGGUUUACACUCAAUGGCUUGUGCAGGGCGAUGUCAGUGCAGCCACCUAUGGGGUGGGGCGCAGGGGCUGUUAAUAGAGGGACCCCAAAGUCAUUUGGAAAAAGUGAAGAAAUUUGUGACAUUGACCCUGGCGAUCCAGAGGACUCCCCCCACAAUGCUGAGAGGAGGUGCCAGCUGUGAGCAGCAUGGGGGUUACUGAACACUGGGGUCAGCGUGUGGUGGAGCCGGGGGGCAGCCAUGGCUCCUCUUCAGCCAGCAGGAGCCGGAUGCAUCCGAAUUGGUGGCAGAGUGGGAUCCCAGCUGGGGGUUAGGUCCGGGUUGGGCACAGGCCGGCCUGGUGGGUCUGCACCCAGUGCUCCCUGCUGGCCCCUGGGGCUUCCCAGUUUGCGGCCCAGGGUAGCUUGGGGGGUGGGAACAGGGAUCCCAUUUUGGGGGGGCUCAAAGCCCGAAGACGGCAGGACCAAUGCUGCACCCUAGCAGGGCAUUGGUGGCUUCCAGGCACUAGC